CAUCGACCUCACAUUCGCCAGCAGCGCGUUGGCCAGAACCGCUAGUUGGAAAAUCGGCAACGCCUACACCGCUAGCGACCACGAGGCCAUCGAGUGCGUGUUUGGCGAACCGGACCCGGGAAGAGCAGCCCCUACUCAGACCCAGAAUAGGAAGGCGUAUCGGCAGGCCACGCUGAGGACACAGGCCUUCGCAAGCGCCCUCCGUACCCACACGGCACCAGAGACCGGUGGAGCCAACGAGUGGGCGACCCAGCUGGGGGAGGCAGUGGAAGCGGCUUGCGACCAGAGCAUGCUCCAGCGAAGUGCGUUUGGGAAACACCAUGCCCCAGUCUUCUGGUGGAACGAGGACAUCGCCGAGCUCCGAAAAAUCUGCCACAGAGCGAGAAGACAGCUCCAACGAGCCAG
rnacentral:lncRNA from 1 species